CCUACGGGCGGCAGCAGUGAGGAAUAUUGGUCAAUGGACGAGAGUCUGAACCAGCCAAGUAGCGUGAAGGAUGACUGCCCUAUGGGUUGUAAACUUCUUUUAUAUGGGAAUAAAAUGUUCCACGUGUGGGAUUUUGUAUGUACCAUAUGAAUAAGGAUCGGCUAACUCCGUGCCAGCAGCCGCGGUAAUACGGAGGAUCCGAGCGUUAUCCGGAUUUAUUGGGUUUAAAGGGAGCGUAGGUGGAUUGUUAAGUCAGUUGUGAAAGUUUGCGGCUCAACCGUAAAAUUGCCGUUGAAACUGGCAGUCUUGAGUACAGUAGAGGUGGGCGGAAUGCGUGGUGUAGCGGUGAAAUGCUUAGAUAUCACGAAGAACUCCGAUUGCGGAGGCAGUUCACUGGACUGCAACUGACACUGAGGCUCGAAAGUGUGGGUAUCAAACAGGAUUAGAUACCCUAGUAGUC
rnacentral:rRNA from 1 species